AUUUUCAAGUAUUUGGUUUCAUUGGACGUUGAAGAUUGUCAAGAUUUGAAGUCAGGCUACUCCAUUAUAUUUAACUUCUCUCCUAACCCAUAUUUUGAAGACACAAAGCUUGUGAAGACUUAUUCCUUCACUGAGGAAGGAGUGGCUAAUAUAACCGGUACGACUAUCAAGUGGAAGGAGGGAGAUUGCCAAUGGUAAUGGUCAUGAGAAGAAGGGAAGCAAGCGACCUUUUACUGAGGAAAGGUUGGCUUUAGUACCAUGUAAUCUUGUUUUAUAAGCAAUUGCUGGAUAUUUAACUGAUUUUGUCACGUUGAGUAU